UGUACCUUUAGCUCAGUUGGUUAGAGCAGACGGCUCAUAACCGUCCGGUCGUAGGUUCGAGUCCUACAAGGUACGU
rnacentral:tRNA from 1 species